UGCAUUCACUACUGUAAAUCGCUCUGGAUAAGAGCGUCUACUAAAUGAAUAAAC
rfam:Salmo salar isolate Sally breed double haploid chromosome ssa02, whole genome shotgun sequence.